GAUGAAGAACGCAGCGAAAUGCGAUAAGUAAUGUGAAUUGCAGAAUUCAGUGAAUCAUCGAAUCUUUGAACGCACAUUGCGCCCGCCAGUAUUCUGGCGGGCAUGCCUGUUCGAGCGUCAUUUCAACCAUCAAGCCCCCGGCUUGUGUUGGGGACCUGCGGCUGCCGCAGGCCCUGAAAACCAGUGGCGGGCUCGCUAGUCACUCCGAGCGUAGUAGUUACAUCUCGCUCAGGGCGUGCUGCGGGUUCCGGCCGUUAAAAGCCUUAUUUACCCAAGGUUGACCUCGGAUCAGGUAGGAAGACCCGCUGAACUUAAGCAUAUCAAUAGCGGAGG
rnacentral:misc_RNA from 1 species